CAAGGUUGUUCCAACACGUCCGAUACAGUCAUGAUAUAACAAUAUUGUUAAAACCUUGUUUCGUCAACCUUGUAACAUUCUUGUCAUAUCAUGAAUGUAUCAGACGGUCAGGACAACCUUG
rnacentral:miRNA from 1 species